rnacentral:rRNA from 1 species
AGUGAACGCUGGCGGCGUGCUUAACACAUGCAAGUCGAACGAGAACGGAAUAUAGCUUGCUAUAUUUGUCAGCUAAGUGGCGCACGGGUGAGUAAUGUAUAGAUAACCUGCCCUUAAGAAAGGAAUAACAGUUGGAAACGACUGCUAAUGCCCUAUAUGCCUUUAAUACAUAAGUAUGCAAGGGAAACGCUUUAGUGCUUAAGGAUGGGUCUGUAUGGUAUCAGCUUGUUGGUGAGGUAAUGGCUCACCAAGGCUAUGACGCCUAACUGGUUUGAGAGGAUGAUCAGUCACACCGGAACUGAGACACGGUCCAGACUCCUACGGGAGGCAGCAGUGGGGAAUAUUGCACAAUGGACGAAAGUCUGAUGCAGCAACGCCGCGUGGAGGAUGACACAUUUCGGUGCGUAAACUCCUUUUAUAUAGGAAGAUAAUGACGGUACUAUAUGAAUAAGCACCGGCUAACUCCGUGCCAGCCGCCGCCUAA